GAUGAACGCUGGCGGCGUGCCUAAUACAUGCAAGUCGAGCGAACAGACGAGGAGCUUUCUCCUCUGACGUUAGCGGCGGACGGGUGAGUAACACGUGGAUAACCUACCUAUAAGACUGGGAUAACUUCGGGAAACCGGAGCUAAUACCGGAUAACAUGUUGAACCGCAUGGUUCAACAGUGAAAGACGGUUUUGCUGUCACUAAUAGAUGGAUCCGCGCCGCAUUAGCUAGUUGGUAAGGUAACGGCUUACCAAGGCAACGAUGCGUAGCCGACCUGAGAGGGUGAUCGGCCACACUGGAACUGAGACACGGUCCAGACUCCUACGGGAGGCAGCAGUAGGGAAUCUUCCGCAAUGGGCGAAAGCCUGACGGAGCAACGCCGCGUGAGUGAAGAAGGUCUUCGGAUCGUAAAACUCUGUUAUUAGGGAAGAACAAAUGUGUAAGUAACUAUGCACGUCUUGACGGUACCUAAUCAGAAAGCCACGGCUAACUACGUG
rnacentral:rRNA from 1 species